rnacentral:tRNA from 2 species
AUGACUAUGGCGAAAAUGGUAAACGCGAUUAGUUUAGGUCUAAUUAUAAAUAAUAUUUAAGGGUUCAAAUCCCUUUAGUCAUA